rnacentral:sRNA from 1 species
AAUUCAUAUUUGUCUGAUUCCAAAAGUCAACUCCCACCCACCUCAGAAAACCUGGUUAUUUAACCUAAAUGUGAAUAUUCUCACUACUAUGGAUGAUGUUUCUCACUUAUAUGUUAUAUUUCUUUUCAGACUGUUUAUGACCAGUGGUUCAUCACCCUUUUUAACAUUGUUUACACAUCACUGCCUGUUUUAGCCAUGGGGAUUUUUGACCAGGAUGUGAGUGACCAGAACAGCAUGGACUGUCCCCAGCUCUACAAACCGGGACAGCUGAAUCUGCUUUUUAACAAGCGUAAAUUUUUCAUUUGCGUGUUGCAUGGAAUCUACACCUCAUUAGUCCUUUUCUUCAUCCCCUAUGGGGCCUUUUACAACGUGGCUGGAGAAGAUGGGCAACAUAUUGCUGACUACCAGUCCUUUGCAGUUACCAUGGCCACAUCUUUGGUCAUUGUGGUCAGUGUGCAGAUAGCCUUGGAUACCAGUUACUGGACUUUCAUUAAUCACGUCUUCAUCUGGGGGAGCAUUGCCAUUUAUUUCUCCAUUUUAUUUACAAUGCACAGUAAUGGCAUCUUUGGCAUCUUCCCAAACCAGUUUCCAUUUGUUGGUAAUGCACGACAUUCCCUGACCCAGAAGUGCAUCUGGCUUGUAAUUCUCUUAACAACAGUGGCUUCGGUUAUGCCAGUGGUGGCAUUCAGAUUUUUGAAGGUGGAUUUAUACCCAACCCUGAGUGAUCAGAUCCGCCGGUGGCAGAAGGCUCAAAAGAAGGCAAGGCCUCCAAGUAGCCGAAGGCCUCGGACCCGCAGGUCAAGCUCAAGAAGGUCUGGAUAUGCUUUUGCUCACCAAGAAGGCUAUGGAGAGCUUAUCACAUCUGGAAAAAAUAUGCGAGCUAAAAAUCCACCCCCAACAUCAGGGCUGGAAAAGACACAUUAUAAUAGCACUAGCUGGAUUGAAAAUUUAUGUAAGAAAACCACAGACACAGUGAGCAGCUUUAGCCAGG